rnacentral:rRNA from 1 species
GAUGAACGCUGGCGGCGUGCCUAAUACAUGCAAGUCGAGCGAACGGACGAGAAGCUUGCUUUUCUGAUGUUAGCGGCGGACGGGUGAGUAACACGUGUAUAACCUACCUAUAAGACUUGGCUAACUUUGGGGAACGGGAGCUAAUACCGGAUAAUAUUUUGAACAGGAUGGUUCAAACGUGAAAGACGGUCUUGCUGUCACUUAAAGAUUGAUCCGCGCUGCAUUAUCUAGUGGGUAAGGUAACGGCUUACCAAGGCAACGAUGCAUAGCCGACCUGAGAGGGUGAUCGCCUAGCCUGGCACUGAGACACGGCCCCGACUCCUACGCGAGGCAGCAGUACGGAAUCUUCCGCGAGGCACGAAAGCCUAACGUUGCAACACCGCGUGAGUGAUGAAGGUCUUCUGCUCGUAAAACUAUGUUAUCAGGAAAGAACAAAUGCGUAAGUACCUGUGCACAUAUUGACGGUACCUAAUCAGAAAGCCACGGCUAACUACGUG